AGAGAAAUCAUUGAGUGAAGGCAGGAUACAUGUCUCUUGCACUUCCUUUUCCUUCCUCGGAAGUCUACACCAGAAUUUCUCAAGAGCUUCACCAUUGACAUUUUGGGCUGGAUAACACUGCUACCAUGCUGUAUCUCUCCACCAGGGAAAUCUACACUUGAAAUGGUGCUAUGAAGAAAUGAGGACAUCAGGGAGAAAAUGUGCGAAGGUCAAAAUGGACGAUGCAACCAGGAAAUGUUACAGACAUCAGAAAUAGUAUUCACUAAAGAGAAAACAUUUGGCUGAAAAACUGCAAAUUGAAGGCUUAUAAGUUCUGGAAAAUUGGGAUGCCUUGAAAGAUUUGAGGUUUCAAUGGUUAUUUUAUGAGGGCUUUUUUUGUUACCUAACUUUGUAAUGAUCUUCC
ensembl:lncRNA